rnacentral:rRNA from 1 species
AGUGAACGCUGGCGGUAGGCCUAACACAUGCAAGUCGAACGGCAGCACAGUAAGAGCUCGCUCUUACGGGUGGCGAGUGGCGGACGAGUGAGGAAUACAUCGGAAUCUACUUUUUCGUGGGGGAUAACGUAGGGAAACUUACGCUAAUACCGCAUACGACCUACGGGUGAAAGCAGGGGAUCUUCGGACCUUGCGCGAUUGAAUGAGCCGAUGUCGGAUUAGCUAGUUGGCGGGGUAAAGGCCCACCAAGGCGACGAUCCGUAGCUGGUCUGAGAGGAUGAUCAGCCACACUGGAACUGAGACACGGUCCAGACUCCUACGGGAGGCAGCAGUGGGGAAUAUUGGACAAUGGGCGCAAGCCUGAUCCAGCCAUACCGCGUGGGUGAAGAAGGCCUUCGGGUUGUAAAGCCCUUUUGUUGGGAAAGAAAAGCAGCAGGUUAAUACCCCGCUGUUCUGACGGUACCCAAAGAAUAAGCACCGGCUAACUUCGUG